CAAAGUCUGCAUUUUUAACGGCACGUCUGUUAAAGGAGAAAAGCUUCCAUCAUAUUUUCUGUGUCUUCUUAGGCACACAAGUCAGUUAGCCUCAAGACACAAAUCCAGAGGAAAUCUGGCUCCUUUCGAUCCAGAACUACCUGUUUCAUAGGUUUUAAAAUUCACAGUGGGCUGUAAGAUCAUCUAUUCUGAGCUCUAUAUAAUAUGGACCAUAAAAUUGCAUACUCCAAUAAGGAACCCAAUAACUUGUGCUUGGCUGAAACCUCAGUUCCAGCAGGCAUCUGCUCACAAUUUGAAAAUAUCUGAAGAGGAAGAAUCUACUACUUUCAUUGGACAGCUGCUUGUGCAAGCUAGGAAUUAACUCAGACAGCCCAACUGGAUCAAAAAUAGCCCAGGCUCAAAUAACACAGAGGUUUCAAGAUCCCAAGAUGUCCUGAGAAGAUGCUCAGCUGCUGAGACGUUCCAAACAUUUGCAUUCCAAUGCAAGUUUGUCUGAUGGAGCAAGGAGAAGCAAUGCUCCAUCCCACCUCCUGCACUUCUGUGCCCUGGCCACUAAUCCCAAGGGUUUCUGUAGCAUCCCGUGGUGAGUUUUAGGGUCUGGCUUUGGGACAGUCUGCAUACAGGACUUGGCACCGCUCUCUCCUUCAGCAUUCAUCCCAGUUUGCAGCAUCUGUAAGCAAGAAGAGUCCUUAUUUUGUUCCCAAAGCCCACUCUUCCCUGCCCUGGGGGUUGCAUGGACACACACAAGGACUUCAUAGGAUCACAGAAUGGCUUGGAUUGGAACGGACCCCAAAGAUCAUCUAGUUCCAACCCCCUGCCAUUGACAGGGAUGACAACCAUUAAGUCAAUCACUAGGUCAGGCUGCCCAGGGCCCCAUCCCACCUGGCCUUGAACACCUACAGGGAUGGGGCACCCACAGCUUCUCUGGACUUCAGAGGGAUAAGGCAACACCAGCAUUGCAAGGCCUCUGGGGUCUGCAGUGGGACUGCAAACAGGUUUUGGUGAGGAGAAGCCUUUCCAGGACACCAGUUGUGCUUCCCAGAGUCUGCAGUGAAAACAGCCAAGACAAAAGAAGUGCUGAUAUUAUUAGAAUGAAUGAAAAUGCUGAUAAAAUGCUUCAGAGCAAAUAAAAAAGAAGGCUUUCUGAGCAAGAGCCCAGCCUUGGAAGGAACAGCCUGAUCACUA
ensembl:lncRNA